UACAGAGGGUGCGAGCGUUAAUCGGAAUUACUGGGCGUAAAGCGUGCGUAGACGGUUAUUUAAGUCGGAUGUGAAAGCCCCGGGCUCAACCUGGGAAUUGCAUUCGAGACUGAAUAGCUAGGGUGCGGUAGAGGGAAGCGGAAUUUCCGGUGUAGCGGUGAAAUGCGUAGAGAUGUGGAGGAACACCGAUGGCGAAGGCAGCCCCCUGGGCUAACACUGACGCUCAGGCACGAAAGCGUGGGGAGCAAACAGG
rnacentral:rRNA from 1 species